AGAGUUUGAUCCUGGCUCAGGAUGAACGCUAGCGGCAGGCUUAACACAUGCAAGUCGAGGGGUAUAUGUCUUCGGAUAUAGAGACCGGCGCACGGGUGCGUAACGCGUAUGCAAUCUACCUUUUACAGGGGAAUAGCCCAGAGAAAUUUGGAUUAAUGCCCCAUAGUAUUAUGAAAUGGCAUCAUUUUAUAAUUAAAGUCACAACGGUAAAAGAUGAGCAUGCGUCCCAUUAGCUAGUUGGUAAGGUAACGGCUUACCAAGGCUACGAUGGGUAGGGGUCCUGAGAGGGAGAUCCCCCACACUGGUACUGAGACACGGACCAGACUCCUACGGGAGGCAGCAGUGAGGAAUAUUGGACAAUGGGCGCAAGCCUGAUCCAGCCAUGCCGCGUGCAGGAUGACGGUCCUAUGGAUUGUAAACUGCUUUUGUACAGGAAGAAACACUGGUUCGUGAACCAGCUUGACGGUACUGUAAGAAUAAGGAUCGGCUAACUCCGUGCCAGCAGCCGCGGUAAUACGGAGGAUCCAAGCGUUAUCCGGAAUCAUUGGGUUUAAAGGGUCCGUAGGCGGUUUAAUAAGUCAGUGGUGAAAGCCCAUCGCUCAACGGUGGAACGGCCAUUGAUACUGUUAGACUUGAAUUAUUAGGAAGUAACUAGAAUAUGUAGUGUAGCGGUGAAAUGCUUAGAGAUUACAUGGAAUACCAAUUGCGAAGGCAGGUUACUACUAAUGGAUUGACGCUGAUGGACGAAAGCGUGGGUAGCGAACAGGAUUAGAUACCCUGGUAGUCC
rnacentral:rRNA from 1 species